rnacentral:lncRNA from 1 species
GCUAGUAACAGGUUUGGCUGUGCCAGAUUUUAACUUGGAAAGCUGCACUAAAGCAAAGGGAAGAGAAAAGGUUGGGGCUCCCAUUCCGUUCUCCUUCUGUACUUGACUGUGUUUAUGUUACAUUGUUAUUCCAGGAGUUCAGCCGUAUCUCUGUUGGGAAUAGUUUUGGCGUAUCAGGUUUAAUAGCGUUUCUUCUGUGGCCAUGUGGAGGAAGACAAACAAGAAUAUAACUAGCUGACAGAUCCCCUUUCAAGCUGCUGCUUGACUUGUAAGAAUGUUAAUUGUGGAAUGUUAAACCUUCAAGUAAGCGAGCCUUUGCUGCACAACGGUGCAGUCAGGGAUGAGACGGCAACAGGACCCCUGCAUAGCUUUCCUUGCCUUUCAUCGUGCCAGUUUGGUGCACACUUUGGUGCAUUGCUUUUGUGUGUUGUUCUGUCUCACAUUGGGCACAUGUGAAAAUAAGGGUAUUUUCUCUCUACUGUAUUAACAGCCACAGUAGCACAAACACACCUUGGUAUGGGAUGCACUCAGGAGGGAGCUAGAAGAUAUGGUGGGCACAGGGUUGCCACAAAAAGUGGUGGGCAGAGCUGUUGGUUUCAAUUUCUCCCAGCUUCUCAUUUUCCCACUCUUCAUUUCUCCAUAUUUCCACACCACUUUGCAUUUUUAAAAAGUCUUCAUGACAAUUCAUCAGCAUAUUAGUAUGAAUUUCUCUGAAUACAUACAUUUGUAUGCAAUUUUGCAUAAUACACACAAUUUUGCAAAAUAUAUUUACACCCCCCCAAUACAUUUGUGUGCUAUUUCAACCAAUAUAUACACAUUUUUAGGCACACUUAACCCCAGUAUAUGCAAUUUUGUACACAUUGUUUGGCUGGAGAACUGCAUCACAAAAUUUGGACAAGUGUGAGUUUCGAACACUGCUGUGUUUUGGUUCUCGUAUUGCUUCGGAAAGUGCAAAUUUGAUUGAUUUGGUUUUAUAAUAAUAAUAAUAAUAAUAAUAAUAAUAGAUAUAAAUCCCCCCCUCUCUUAACUAUAAUACAAGGUCACACUUAUUUCUGCCUAGUCCUUAGUUUGGGGCUUUGGCAACACACUUGCUGUCAUCUAGUCCAGCAGCCUGUGUCCAGUCAAAACCUUCUGAGAAGCUUAGUAGAAAGGCAACUUGUCUCCAGCACCUGAAGUUCACAGGCACCCUGCCCUCAGAAGAUGAAUGCUAUAUUUAUUAUUGGAGUCUGUAAGAGGGGCUUGCAUGAGUAGUGAGUUUCAGCAGAUGGGAGCUGUGGGAAAAAUGUGGUAGGAGUGGUUUAACUGCCUUUUGAAGGCAGUACUCACCGCAGCCUAAAGAAGGGGUAGCCCUCCAGUUGUUGGACUACAGCUCCCAAUACCCUAGUCAGCACUGCCAAGGAUGAUGGGAGUUGUAGUCCAACAACACCUGGAGGGCAACACAAUGGCUACCACUAGCCUAAAGCUAUCUACUGUGCAUGAUUUGCUCCUUAGUGGCGCUGGAUUUAGUUGUGGCUGAGCAGAGUUGAGAGUUUCCUGUUACUGUUUCAUUCUUGUUGGAGAGGUGCAAUAAAGUUCUUGUCCUACAAGCCUUGCUUGACACCCAUGGACGCAUGAAGCCUCCUAGAAGGUGAUACCAUUUACACAGUAUGGUGUCAGGUUCUGUGGAGCUGGAUCCUCAUUCCUUCCCUGAAAGUUGAGGGCAGGAGGAACUGUAGAUGCUCUGUUGUUGUUACAGAUAAUGGAUUCCCACUGGUCCCUUGAGCUCUGUUGCUGCCAUUCUCAUGUAUGAGAGACUACAUUUACUGACGCCAGCCCUGCUCAGCCUGGGCAAACAAUCAGGGAACUGUAACCAGAUCACUGACAGACCCAUUCCCUGCCUUUCAAAGUGGGAAGUCAGCUGCGGCAGAGAAACCAUCCUCUUACGCGGAUAAAUAAGAGUAUGCUCUCCGACCGAAUUUAUGAAGAGUCCAAGGGUCAGCUCACAGAGGAUCGGAUUGUUGACGUUUUCAUCUUUUAUAAUGUAAAAUUACCCAACUGUUAAAAGCUGUUUGAACAAGCCUGACCUGCAAAUGCUAUUAAAAGACUUGUGCU